AAGAAGUUUUUUUCUAAGUUUUAUUCCGCAGACACUGUGUUCAUUACAUUUUGUAAUCCGGAUUUCUCUAAUCUAUUCAGUAUUCAGCAUUUUGUUCUUGAUUUUGUUUACUGUUGUUCAUCCUGUUAUCAUCCUGCUGUUACAUUGUUGUUAUCAUGUUUUCAUCCUGUUCAACGUUUAUGUUCUCUACAAUGAUGUCUAAGUAGUGAAUAAAUUUCUGAGGAUGGGUUAGAGUAGUGUACAAUUCUCAGUAUGCUAGGUAGUUGAGUUUGAUUGAUAGAUCCCUUCUGCAUUAGUUGGUUUUAAUGCCUAUUGCUUUCUGAUCAACUAGAAUUUGAGCCCAGACAUUUCCGCACCCAAAAGUUGUUCGAUAAAAUGUCUGAACCACUAAUUCCAGAGAUUCGUGGCUCUGUACCAAGGUAUUGGUUGUAGGGAGCGUUUUGGCUUUAACUCGUUGAUUCGUAAUGCCUGUUAGGUUAGCUCUCGUCAAUGGUGAUUGAGUCUGGGACUAGGUUAACUUAAGGGUCUCUGUUGCAGUGGCAAUUAAAUUUGGUUAAUGAACUUGUUGUCUAGGGAUAAUUUAUUGAGCAUGUCAAUCACCUGUAAACUGAGGAAACGAAACUAUUCAAUUACCCCAUCCUCGGGAAUUCUUUAUCUGAUUGAUUUUAUUGUUUACUCUACUGGUAUUUACUGCAUCUUGUCAUCUGUUGCUUAGUUUCUGCAAUUCUUUACUGUUACUCGACAUGAUACUCGACCACCCAGUUGUCUAGUAACAAACUGUGUAGUCGAGUAUCCCUGUUAUAUUUUUUGUCUGUUACUUGACUUGUCACUCGACCACACCCAGUGCUC
rnacentral:sRNA from 1 species